GGCUGGUUAGCUCAGAGCUCAGUUGGUUAGAGCGUGGUGCUAAUAACGCCAAGGUCGCGGGUUCAAUCCCCGCACGGGCCA